UACGUAGGGUGCGAGCGUUAAUCGGAAUUACUGGGCGUAAAGUGUGCGCAGGCGGCCGCGCAAGUCGAGUGUGAAAUCCCCGGGCUUAACCUGGGAACUGCAUUUGUGACUGCACGGCUAGAGUGUGUCAGAGGGGGGUAGAAUUCCACGUGUAGCAGUGAAAUGCGUAGAUAUGUGGAGGAAUACCGAUGGCGAAGGCAGCCCCCUGGGAUAACACUGACGCUCAUGCACGAAAGCGUGGGGAGCAAACAGG
rnacentral:rRNA from 1 species